rnacentral:rRNA from 1 species
GGUAGUAGCAAAUAUUCGAACGAGCUCUUGGAUGACUGAAGUGGAGAAGGGUUUCGUGUCAACAGCAGUUGAACACGAGUUAGCCAAUCCUAAGCCGCAUGGGAAUCCAGUCGUAACCCAUCAGUCGGCGAAAGGGAAUCCGGUUACCAUUCCGGAGCCUGUUGAGUACCCGUUUGCGCCACCCUAGUAGGGUUUAGCUCGUCCGCACCCGAACGGUUAGUGUGUAGCUUCAUGGCAACAUGAAUCCUUUUCUUCGAGAAGCCAACGAGAGGCAUCGGAAGAGUUUUCUUUUCUGUUUUACAGCCACACCGACCAUGGAAGUCACUCACAGAGAGAUAUGGUUGGACCGGUCUGGUAGAGCACGGCCGCCGCAACUGCCGUGUCGAUGCACUCUUCUUGGACCGUGAAAAUCGAAGACUGGGGCACACUUUAUAUGGUAAUAACGCACACUCUCAACAGAUUGUACCGAAUCCGCAGCAGGUCUCCAAGGUGCAGAGUCUCUAGUC